UCGCAGUUUGCACUGGCAGUCUCGCUAGAGUUCCCGACUUUACUCGCUGGCAACUAGCGACAGGGGUUGCGCUCGUUAUAGGACUUAACCUGACACCUCACGGCACGAGCUGACGACAACCAUGCAGCACCUUGUGGCCUGUCCGAAGAAAAAACUGUUUCCAGUCCUGUCAGGCCACAUUCAAGCCCUGGUAAGGUUCCUCGCGUAUCAUCGAAUUAAACCACAUGCUCCACCGCUUGUGCGGGCCCCCGUCAAUUCCUUUGAGUUUCAUUCUUGCGAACGUACUCCCCAGGUGGGAUACUUAUCACUUUCGCUUAGCCACCCAGCUUGCGCCGGACAGCUAGUAUCCAUCGUUUACGGCGUGGACUAC
rnacentral:misc_RNA from 1 species